rnacentral:rRNA from 1 species
GACAGAGGGUGCAAACGUUGUUCGGAAUUACUGGGCGUAAAGCGCGUGUAGGCGGCUUCGCAAGUCGGAUGUGAAAUCCCACGGCUCAACCGUGGAAGUGCAUUCGAAACUGCAAGGCUAGAGUCCUGGAGAGGAAGGUGGAAUGCUUGGUGUAGAGGUGAAAUUCGUAGAUAUCAAGCGGAACACCGGUGGCGAAGGCGGCCUUCUGGACAGUGACUGACGCUGAGGAGCGAAAGCAUGGGGAGCGAACAGG